UACGUAGGGGGCUAGCGUUAUCCGGAAUUACUGGGCGUAAAGGGUGCGUAGGUGGUCUCUUAAGUCAGAGGUGAAAGGCUACGGCUCAACCGUAGUAAGCCUUUGAAACUGGGGAACUUGAGUGCAGGAGAGGAGAGUGGAAUUCCUAGUGUAGCGGUGAAAUGCGUAGAUAUUAGGAGGAACACCAGUUGCGAAGGCGGCUCUCUGGACUGUAACUGACACUGAGGCACGAAAGCGUGGGGAGCAAACAGG
rnacentral:rRNA from 1 species